ACCCUGGACGGUGGAUCACUCGGCUCGUGGUCGAUGAAGAACGCAGCAAAUUGCGCGUCGACAUGUGAACUGCAGGACACAUGAACAUCGGACUUUCGACCGCACAUUGCGUCUUUGGAUUUCC
rnacentral:rRNA from 1 species